UACGGGAGGCAGCAGUGGGGAAUAUUGCACAAUGGGCGCAAGCCUGAUGCAGCCAUGCCGCGUGUAUGAAAAAGGCCUUCGGGUUGUAAAGUACUUUCAGUCGUGAGGAAGGUGUUAAGGUUAUAACCUUAGCAAUUGACGUUAGCGACAGAAGAAGCACCGGCUAACUCCGUGCCAGCAGCCGCGGUAAUACGGAGGGUGCGAGCGUUAAUCGGAAUUACUGGGCGUAAAGGGCACGCAGGCGGUUAAUUAAGUUGGAUGUGAAUCCCCGGGCUUAACCUGGGAAUGGCAUUCAAGCUGGUUAGCUAGAGUCUUGUAGAGGGGGUAGAAUUCCAUGUGUAGCGGUGAAAUGCGUAGAGAUGUGGAGGAAUACCGGUGGCGAAGGCGGCCCCUGGGACAAAGACUGACGCUCAUGUGCGAAAGCGUGGGGAGCAAACAGGGAUUAGAUACC
rnacentral:rRNA from 1 species